UCAUUUAGAGGGAAGUAAAAGUCGUAACAAGGUUUCCGUAGGUGAACCUGCGGAAGGAUCAUUAUUGAUUUUGAUUUGUUACCUUCUGUGCUGGCUCCGGCAUGUGCACGUUGGUGACUUUCAUGUAAUCCCCUUUUGUGAACCUUUGGCCUCAUGCUGGCUUUGGCUGGCAAGAGGAUUUACACAAACUUGAAUGUAACAGAAAGAAAUUGUUGUGCGCAAGCACUAAUGUACAACUUUCAACAACGGAUCUCUUGGCUCUCGCAUCGAUGAAGAACGCAGCGAAAUGCGAUAAGUAAUGUGAAUUGCAGAAUUCAGUGAAUCAUCGAAUCUUUGAACGCACCUUGCACCCAUUGGUAUUCCAAAGGGUAUGCUCGUUUGAGUGUCAUUGUACUCUCACACUCUAAUGAAUUUUGGAGAAGUGGACUUGGGUGUUGCUGCUUUGCGGUGGCUCAUCUUAAAUAUGCUAGUGCAACUCAUGGUUGGAUAUAGUACAGCGUGAUAAGUAUCCUCGCUGGCGCCUCAUGAAGAGGGUGUCCGAUUGGGAGCUCUGUGCUUCAAACUGUCCUGUCUGGGACAAUCUCUGACAACUUGGCCUCAAAUCGAGUAGGAUUACCCGCUGAACUUAAGCAUAUCAUA
rnacentral:rRNA from 1 species